rnacentral:lncRNA from 1 species
GUGAGAACUCUGGCCGCCGCCGGGCCUCCCCUCCGCGGCUGAAAGGGGCUGGCGGCCCGGCCUGGGGGCGGGGAGCGGCCGCUGCAUAGGGAUGAGCUGUCCCCGCGCCGCGGACAGAGCGCCAUUGUCUGCGCCGCCGCCACUCAUCCCGAGGAGUCCCCGGCCCGCACAGAAAGGCAGAGUGACCAGAACCGGGUGGGGCAGGAGCGGUGGUCACCUGGGCCCUCACACCUAUGCCUCUGCAGCAGGAGCCUUGGCUUUGUGUGCAGGCUGCUGUGCCUCCGGAGAGUCUUCAGCUGGAGAAGCCCCUCGCCCCCGUGUCCCCUCCUUCCCUGCUCAGCACCAUCCAUCUCCGUCUCCCCAGAGCAAGGAAUGUGGCUCCAGGACACUGUGGGGCUUGUUCUCAAUCCCCUUCUAGCUCAUUUCACUCAGGCUUUUACAGACUUGCCUCCAUCCCACGGGCUGUCGUCUGGGGUCUGGCUCUAAAGGGACAGACAGAGGCCCCCUCCUCCCCACAAUUCCUCACGCUUCAUUUUGUCCCAACACCACGGAGGAGGCGGCACUGUGGGGGGUCGAGGAACCCUGGUGUGGGAGCCUGUGUGUGGGGAGGGUCCCCUUCUCUGGUCUCUCCAGCCACCCAGCCUGUCCUUUGCAGCGGCCCCAACACAUCCACGGUGUCUGUGUCAUUACCCAUGCUGCAAGCCAUCCAUCCCUUCUCUACCCUUCCUGUCCAUGCCCCACAAGCCUCGAUUAUUGGUGGAAUUAGCACCGGGCUUCUUGUUGGCAGUUGCUAAUUAAGACCAUUAAUAAAC